ACAUUGUGAAAUGGACAUGAACCAGUCAGAGAACAAGUGCGGUAAUUGUUUUUGCCAUCCUAUCUGAGUAUAAUUUUGAAGGGAGAUGUGAUCUCAUCAAGUUUGUGAAGCUAGUGGGAUCCAGUGGACUUUAUCUUCACCUUCGAAUAGGUCCUUACGUCCGUGCCGUGUGGAAUUUUGGGUCUCACCUUCUUUCUCAUUCUAAUUAUACCAGUUCAUUAUUUUUUUCUUCUUAGAUUUACAUUUUAAACCAUGAAAUCCUUUUCAUUUUCUUACAAUUCAACAAAUUGUUGUCUGACCAAGAAAGUUCAGCAUCUUUAACUAAUGAUUGCAAUAAUUGUUAAGGUACUUAGAAGAUGGUCUAUCGCUAUUAUGUGUGUUAUGUUGUGACAAUAGUCUGGUUCGGAUGUGAAAAAGCAAUAUACUCUGUUUAAUGGUGCCAA